GAGAACUUUUGCCUGGAGAUCGCCUAGUCUCCGUCAAUGAGUUCUCUCUGGACAAUGCCACUCUUGCUGAGGCUGUGGAAGUGUUGAAGGCUGUACCCCCAGGUGUGGUGCACCUUGGCAUCUGUAAGCCUUUGGUGGAGGAGGAGAAGGAGGAGAAGGAGGAACAUUUUAUUUUCCAUUCAAACAACAAUGGAGAUAACAGUGAGUCUCCAGAAACCGUUCACGAGAUCCACUCAUCUUUAAUCCUCGAGGCACCCCAGGGAUUUAGAGAUGAGCCGUAUCUUGAAGAACUCGUGGAUGAACCUUUUCUAGAUUUGGGAAAGUCUUUGCAGUUCCAACAAAAAGACAUGGACAGCAGCUCAGAAGCCUGGGAAAUGCAUGAAUUCCUGAGCCCUCGGCUGGAGAGAAGGGGUGAGGAAAGAGAGAUGCUUGUUGACGAGGAGUAUGAGAUCUACCAAGACCGCCUCCGGGACAUGGAAGCACACCCACCACCUCCUCACAUUCGGGAGCCCACUUCUGCAUCUCCCAGGCUGGAUCUCCAGGCCGGCCCCCAGUGGCUGCAUGCUGACCUCUCAGGAGGAGAGAUACUCGAGUGUCACGACACAGAGUCCAUGAUGACUGCUUAUCCCCAGGAGAUGCAGGACUAUAGCUUCAGCACCACAGACAUG
rnacentral:lncRNA from 1 species